UACAUUGUUUUUAAUAGGAUGUAAAAAAAAAAAAUGGAUAUUACUUAUCAAAGUUGUUAUUUUUUUUAUCUCUGAAAGACAAAGGAACUAUAUUCUUCACUUUAUUAGGAGUUGAAUCAGGAAAAUCGAAAAAAAAUACGGGAAAGGGCAAUUUCGACCGACCACUAAACUUUUGAAGAUAGGAGAAUCUUUAGCCAUCGCUGUGCUGUCCAACUGUAUUAAAGGACCCGAAUUUUGAGAAGUCCUAAUUUCCAAUGAAUAGACAAGAACAAAUAAAAAGAAUCAAAUGGGUUACUGAAAAAUAAGUAGCGUACAGUAAUUUCCACGACUUACAUAGUUGUUUCCUGUGGUGUUUUCUUAUUCGAGUCAUCGGGAAGGCACCAUCUGAGCAGACUACAUUCUGAGAGUUUAGCAAGAUAAUAACAUUGAUCUUUCUGUGUGCAUUGGAACCAGAAAAAUGAUUUAAAGUAGCUUUCUUCAGAGAAAACGGCCUACGAGAUUGCCAUGAGAAAGAAUAAAUUCAAUUUCGUCGUUUGUCCAUUCAGAUAAUUCGAUGGAUUUUACCCGAUGAAGAAGCUCACGACUUGACAUACACAACAAACAGCCGACAAGAAAAUUAAAAAAAAAAUUGUGUUUUUUAUGUUUUUGUUUAUAUAUUUUUAACCCCAAAAGAAGCUUGAUUGUACAGCAAUCAAAUGUUUAGCAUGCGCUUUGACAUUGCCCGUAAAACACAGAGACAAAAAAAAGAAAUUGACUUAUGUAAAACGAGGACAAGAUUUAAAGAAUAAGGAAUAACUGAAGAAACUUACUGGAUUCCAGCACAAAUUGUACAUACAAAUGUUCCAAAAUUGACACAAAUAAAUGUUGGUCCGAAAUCUCCACAAUUAGCACAUCUUUUAUUUUGUAUUGAAGGAAAAAGUAUUUUUUCCUGGUGCUUCAUUUAGAAGAAAGUGGUAUAUUUCUUCAAAGCCAGAAGGAUUGAAUGUUACAUAAACUUUUUUUCUCAC